rnacentral:lncRNA from 1 species
AUACAUAGGACAUACCAGUCUCACCAGUACCAUUGAUCUUUGACUCAAUGUAUCAAUGACUGAGAAUAUUUUAGAUUAUGACUAUCAAGGAUUUAGAUCUCACUGGUGUGAUUUCAUUACGGCCUUAAAAUCAUUGUCCGGACCUAUGGAGUUCAUUAUAAUCUUAAAAACAAUAAUAAGAUGCAGCAUAUAAUGAAUCGAAAAGUCUAUUUUGUUAAUUAAUAAUGUCAAAUAUAUGAAUUUAAAAGACAAAUUAUAGAAAAAUACUCCAUCGC